rnacentral:ncRNA from 1 species
AUUAAACCUUUGAGCAAGAAGAGUACAAAAAGUCUGGUGCAUCCAGAGAGCCGCUAUGUGGUGGGAAUGCGGCAACACGGAUUUUUUCGAAUGGGCUUGCGAGGGUGGCUCAAAACCGGCCUCCGGGAGUAGACGCCGACGGGAAUCCUGUCCGUUAUCAGUAGGGCGCGUAUGAUGGUACGCGGAAGAGCGGAUGAUUUAUUUCAUCAAUUUGGGUGGCACCGCAGAAGUUUUAAGGCUUUUGUCCCAUGU